rnacentral:rRNA from 1 species
UGAGUAACCUGCCCUUAACUCUGGGAUAAGCCUGGGAAACUGGGUCUAAUACCGGAUAUGACUCCUCAUCGCAUGGUGGGGGGUGGAAAGCUUUAUUGUUGGUUUUGGAUGGACUCGCGGCCUAUCAGCUUGUUGGCGGGGUAAUGGCCCACCAAGGCGACGACGGGUAGCCGGCCUGAGAGGGUGACCGGCUACACUGGGACUGAGACACGGCCCAGACUCCUACGGGAGGCAG